GUGUAACACUCACCGGCGAGGUUUGUAGCUUCACUCCUGAGCCAGUGAGACCACGAAUCCACCAGCAGGAAAAAAAGAUUCCAAACAUGUCUGAAUGUCAGAAGAAACAAUUUCCAAACACACUGCCUUUAAGAACUGUAACACUCCCUGUGAGGGUCUAUGGCUUCAUUCUUUAAGUCAGUGAGACUAAGACGCCACCAAUUCGGGGCACAUUGGGACUAUAGUUACUGCCACCAUGCACAUCUAAACAACGUUCUGGAAUAUCUUCUUGCUUUGGUCAACCACCAGGCAUGGGAAAAUGGCUUCAUCGGUUGUCUUUCCACAAACAAGAUUCUAACUCAAAUAGCUCAAAGGACACCUUCUCCGGGAAACCUUCCCUGACUUCCGACGCUGUUUCCUGUUACCCAUGAUGUACAUUAGAACACAGCAACUAUUUGAGUGAAAUAAGUAUUUUUAUUUAUUUCAAGAGGAAAGCAAAGUCGAAGGGUGUUCAGUGCAGAGCCAGGAGAGGACACUAUUGGAAAACAGAGAUGUGAGAAAACCCUAAAACAUGGUGUACUCAUGCCUGAACUUAGCCUGUCUUUCACAGCAAGGCUCAUCAUUUCUGGGUUUACUACAGAACCUCACCGUGUACAGCAGGCCUCCUAUAGAAAGGCUACAGUUUUGCUUGACCAGAUGUUGCCAAGUUUCAAAGUCAAAUCGGUUCAUCUCCUGGCUAUCAGCUAAAGGGUGUUGUAUUUGUAAGCAUUGAGAACUUCUAUCUACUGCUAUUGUAUUUUGCAUAUUUGUAUUUUCUGAGUUCUAUUUGAGAGAGACGGAAUUACGCAUUUCCAUAUGGAUCAUCCUCUUCCCUAUGUAUGUUGCUUUAUUGCCUUUUGGAAGAAAAAAAGUGAGAGUUGCAGUCUGUAUUUAGGCCAUUUCUAUGUUCUUUAUUGGGUUACGUUUGAAUGCCCAAUUUGAUCUCAAUGGCACGUCCUUUGUAACAUAAAAUAAAACAUGGUGCUCAGGAAAAGUAACGACACACACAUCCAGGCCCUUUCAUAGCAGUUGGUAAAGCUUAAGCCUUGCCUCUCUGUGUGGUAGUUUCCCUUCCCUUUCUUUUCGUUCCCUGUGACAAGCAGCCAUUGUCCCCUUGGUGAGAUCUGCAAUAUUACUUUGACCCCAGCCCAUCAAUCUGCCUCAAUUGGAUAAUGAUCUGUAAUCACGUUCUUUCAGGGGAGUCUAUAAAUUUGCCAAGGCCCCAUUCUCUUCUGAAGGACUCCUUAUGUUCACUCCCAUUUGUGCAAAUGUGCUCUCUUUUACAGGGCUAAAUAGCCAUGCACAUGGUCCAUUCUGUGAGGAGGCACCGGGCGGUUCUCUGUUGAUUUUCCACGCUCUAGUCUCUUAAAGGAGACUAAGGCUGACAUGCAGGGACACAGUGGGGGGGUGGCCCGAGCCAGGCCACAUCACAGGCAGCCGCUUUUCUCAUUAAGACUGACCCAUCAUUAGGUCACUUUGUGCCAUCCUUGUAAUCAAUGAGCUUAAUGUUUAGUGCAAAAAAAAAAAAA
ensembl:lncRNA HULC hepatocellular carcinoma up-regulated long non-coding RNA